UACGUAGGUGGCAAGCGUUGUCCGGAUUUACUGGGCGUAAAGGGAGCGUAGGUGGAUAUUUAAGUGGGAUGUGAAAUCCCCGGGCUUAACCUGGGGGCUGCAUUCCAAACUGGAUGUCUAGAGUGCAGGAGAGGAGAGUGGAAUUCCCGGUGUAGUGGUGAAAUGCGUAGAUAUCGGGAGGAACACCAGUGGCGAAGGCGACUUCCUGGCCUGUUCUUGACGCUGAGGCGCGAAAGCUAGGGUAGCAAACGGG
rnacentral:rRNA from 1 species